rnacentral:misc_RNA from 1 species
UCGAGGGCCAGGAGGUGCCCUCAUGGAGGGAGCAGCUGACGGUGAGGGCCUUCGUGGUCAGCUUCGUCCUCUCUGUCCUCUUCAGCAUCAUCGUAAUGAAGCUCAACCUCACCACCGGCAUCAUCCCCUCACUCAACGUGUCAGCGGGGUUGCUAGGGUUCUUCUUUGUGAAGACAUGGACGAAGGUGAUUGAGAAGGCCG